CAAAAACAUCUUUUCUUGUUUGUUUUUGAAGUAUGGCCUGCCCACUGACGUUUUGAGUUGAAGGGCCGCGGUAUUUUGACCGUGCAAAGGUAGCAUAAUCAUUAGUUCUUUAAUUGUGAUCUGGUAUGAAUGGCUUGACGAGACAUGAGCUGUCUUGGGGGUAUUGGUUUAUUGAAUUUGGUUUUUGAGUUAAAAUUCUUAAAUGUUUUUAUGGGACGAGAAGACCCUAUAGAGUUUUACAUUUACUUAUUUAUUUUAUUUUGUUUGUGUUGUAUUUUGUAAGUUGGUUAAGUGUUUUGUUGGGGUGAUGGGAGGAAUAUUAUUUAACUCCUCUUUGUUUUUUUAUAUUUAUGUAUAUUUAUUUUGAUCCAUUUAUUUUGAUUAUAAGAUUAAAUUACCUU
rnacentral:rRNA from 1 species